UACGUAGGGUGCAAGCGUUGUCCGGAAUUAUUGGGCGUAAAGAGCUCGUAGGCGGUUUGUCGCGUCUGCUGUGAAAACCCGAGGCUCAACCUCGGGCCUGCAGUGGGUACGGGCAGACUAGAGUGCGGUAGGGGAGAUUGGAAUUCCUGGUGUAGCGGUGAAAUGCGCAGAUAUCAGGAGGAACACCGGUGGCGAAGGCGGGUCUCUGGGCAGUAACUGACGCUGAGGAACGAAAGCGUGGGUAGCGAACAGG
rnacentral:rRNA from 1 species